ACGCUUUUGUUAUUGAAAUCCUUACUAGCAUCAUCCCUUUCAUUACAUGGAUUCAGAAAUAUGCUGCUCCUUUUGUAGGUGUGGUUACCCUACUAACGCCUCAUACUAUGACUUGACCUUUCAUCCGACAAGUAACAGGAAUAACUAUAUUUUCAAUAAAUAAAAUAGAAAUAAUUCAAAAAAAAUUAGAACAAUUAUAUAGUGAAGAUCACAAAGAUUAGCCUACUUAAUUACAUUAAUAUCUAGUAUUGAAAUUGUAGGGGGG
rnacentral:lncRNA from 1 species